rnacentral:rRNA from 1 species
AGAGUUUGAUCCUGGCUCAGGACGAACGCUGGCGGCGUGCUUAACACAUGCAAGUCGAACGGAAAGGCCCUGCUUUUGUGGGGUGCUCGAGUGGCGAACGGGUGAGUAACACGUGAGUAACCUGCCCUUGACUUUGGGAUAACUUCAGGAAACUGGGGCUAAUACCGGAUAGGAGCUCCUGCUGCAUGGUGGGGGUUGGAAAGUUUCGGCGGUUGGGGAUGGACUCGCGGCUUAUCAGCUUGUUGGUGGGGUAGUGGCUUACCAAGGCUUUGACGGGUAGCCGGCCUGAGAGGGUGACCGGCCACAUUGGGACUGAGAUACGGCCCAGACUCCUACGGGAGGCAGCAGUGGGGAAUAUUGCACAAUGGGCGGAAGCCUGAUGCAGCAACGCCGCGUGCGGGAUGACGGCCUUCGGGUUGUAAACCGCUUUCGCCUGUGACGAAGCGUGAGUGACGGUAAUGGGUAAAGAAGCACCUGCUAACUACGUGCCAGCAGCCGCG